CCUACGGGUGGCAGCAGUGGGGAAUAUUGCACAAUGGGGGAAACCCUGAUGCAGCGACGCCGCGUGAGUGAAGAAGUAAUUCGUUAUGUAAAGCUCUAUCAGCAGGGAAGAAAAUGACGGUACCUGAGUAAGAAGCCCUGGCUAACUACGUGCAAGCAGCCGCGGUAAUACGGAGGGGGCAAGCGUGAUCCGGAUUUACUGGGUGGAAAGGGAGCGUAGACGGCAGUGCAUGUCUGGGGGGAAAGGCGGGUGCUCAACCCCGGAACUGCUCUGGAAACUGGACGGCUGGAGUGCGGGAGAGGAAAGUGGAAUUCCAGGGGUAGGAGUGAAAUCGGUAGAUAUUGGGAGGAACACCAGUGGCGAAGGCGACUAUCUGGCCUAUAACGGACGUGGAGGAGCGAAAGCGUGGGUAGCAAACAGGAUUAGAUACCCGGGUAGUC
rnacentral:rRNA from 1 species